rnacentral:rRNA from 1 species
ACGCACGCUGGCGGCGUGCUUAACACAUGCAAGUCGAACGGAAAGGCCCCUUUGGGGGUACUCGAGUGGCGAACGGGUGAGUAACACGUGAGUAACCUGCCCUUGACUUCGGGAUAACUUCAGGAAACUGGGGCUAAUACCGGAUAGGAAUCCUUGCUGCAUGGUGGGGGUUGGAAAGCUUCGGCGGUUUUGGAUGGACUCGCGGCUUAUCAGCUUGUUGGUGGGGUAGUGGCUUACCAAGGCUUUGACGGGUAGCCGGCCUGAGAGGGCGACCGGCCACAUUGGGACUGAGAUACGGCACAGACUCCUACGGGAGGCAGCAGUGGGGAAUAUUGCACAAUGGGCGGAAGCCUGAUGCAGCAACGCCGCGUGCGGGAUGACGGCCUUCGGGUUGUAAACCGCUUUCAGCAGGGGCGAAGCUUGUGGUGACGGUACCUGCAGAAGAAGCACCGGCUAACUACGUG